rnacentral:rRNA from 1 species
GACGAACGCUGGCGGCGUGCUUAACACAUGCAAGUCGAACGGAGCGAAUGAAAGCUUGCUUUUAUGAGCUUAGUGGCAAACGGGUGAGUAACACGUAGACAACCUGCCGACAGGAUGGGGACAACAUUCCGAAAGGAAUGCUAAUACCGAAUGAAGUCAGAGGAGGGCAUCCUCCUCUGAUGAAAGAUGGCCUCUUUUUAUGCUAUCACCUGUUGAUGGGUCUGCGUCUGAUUAGCUGGUUGGUGAGGUAACGGCUCACCAAGGCGACGAUCAGUAGCCGGUCUGAGAGGAUGAACGGCCACAUUGGGACUGAGACACGGCCCAGACUCCUACGGGAGGCAGCAGUGGGGAAUCUUCCGCAAUGGGCGCAAGCCUGACGGAGCAACGCCGCGUGAGUGAAGAAGGUCUUCGGAUCGUAAAGCUCUGUUGACGGGGACGAACGUGCGGAGUGCGAAUAGCGCUUUGU